ACCACAGCAUUUAUUUAGCAUACGCCACAUUCCAGAUGCAUCGUUUUCUGUUGUACACAAAGAGAGAAAAUGGAGUUGAUGAAAAAUUUGAAGUUGAAAUCACUAGUAUUUGAUUUCAGAAGAGCCUAAUAUUUGAUUUCCAGAAGAGCAGCACAUUUGGUCAAAAACUUCAGAAGUCCCUUCUCACCAGGACAGUCUAAAGAGAGGCCCACACCCUGGGCACUAACACUGUUUUCUGCAUCAUUUUUCAAAUCUUUGUGGUCUUUCUGCUGUGCUCUCCAUGGUUGGGAAAUUCUAAGUAGUGUCUCUCUUUUCUUUCUCCCUCUGAAAGCACAUGUUUUCUUUUUUCCCUCCACAGUGUUCCUUUUCUUAGGGUUUCUGUCCAAUUACUGAGCUUUGAGCUCAGAGAUUUGUUCCCGUGGGUGGCUUAGAGUUUAGGACUGCAGCCCACCAUUCAACUACAGUUCUUAAAACUAAAAAGCCUAGCUCUGCACAUGUAGAUAAAAAACAUAUUAUCUUUCAAAAAGGUUGGAAUAAAAAAAAAAUGAACGCACUUGGUGAGUUUCUAGGCAACUGGGAACACAAGCUCAGCAUAGGCUGGAGAGAGGGAGAAUCAGAUUCCUUUUUAGUCACGCUGGCCUGGCACCUUGUGGCACGGCCUGGGCACAAACGCUUCUUUAUUCCGGGCUGUGUUUGUGUGGCAACUGUGCCAGCGUCGUUCUAGUGGACCCUGGGGAGUGGGGCAGGCAGGGUCUCAGCUCCUCUGGUCACACUGGGCAGCAGACUGACAAAUGCCAGAGCCACAGAGUCCCUUCUCUCAGAAGCGCUGGGCACCUUGGAGAUGGACACAGCGGGAGGAGGACAGGGAGCCGGGAGAGGGGCGGGCGGUGGUAGAGUGACCAGGGAAGCGUCCUUCUGAGGCCCUGGUGUUUGCGCUGGGACCACCAGAAGGAAGAGCCAGCCAUAGGAAGUGGUGGGGAAGAGCAUCCAAGCAGGGGGAAGUGGGACAGGAAGAAGGGCAGGUGGCUGGAGGGCAGAGAGAGGGGGCAAGGGGCAGGAGCAGGAGAGCAGACCGGGAGGAAGAGGGAGCAUGCGCGGUGUGGGUCCUGCGGGUCAUGUCUCAUGGGCCCCCGGUCUCCAGGUGCUGCUGGCUGUUAGUUUCCUGACGCUGCUGUAGCAGUUCACGCACACCCUAGGAGUCCGAAGUUGGAGGUCUGAAGCGAAUCUCGAGGGGCUAAGGACCCUGUGCUCACAUUGGUCCCACCUGGAAAAUCUGGAUCACCUCUCUCUCUCUCAAGGACUGGACUCCUUCACCUGUGAAGUCUCAUUCUCCAUGGCGCUGUGGCUACCGGUGCUCUUGUGAGUCCUCCGUGCCGACUGAGAUGCGCUGCGCAAACAUCUGUUGUGAGAAAUGCUGAUGCUGCUAAUGCCGCUGCGGUUUUCUGCACACAUUUGUCAUCAAAAGAAAUGUUCAACUUCAGGCGGAGGUGAAUAUAAAUAAAUCUGUGUGUGUGUGUGUGUGUGUGUGUGUGUGUACUUGUGUGUCUUGGUGUAUCUCCGCAUGUCUGUGCUUUUGUAUUUGUGCGUGUUUGUGUGUAUUCGUAUUUGUGUCCAUGUAUGUCUGAGUGUCCGCUUGUGUUCACAGGUGCAUGUGUGUGUUUGUGCGUGCGAGUGUGUAUUUUGCCAUGGACUGUUGCAGACCCCCAAACUCCAACCAUAGACCCACUCCAUGACCCCUAGGGAGGAGCCUGGCUUGGGUUUGUUUUGUGUGCGGUGUGAAGCCAUGGACAGAACCUUGUGUGUGUGUGUGGCACGUGAACAGUAGGCUCAGGGCAGCGUGCCUGCUCCAAGCCCCAUCCAGCUCUGCUGGGACAGCAGUGGUGCCCGCCACUCUCUUCCGUGCCUGUGGUGGGUGCUCCACGUGCCACGGUGUCACCUAGACACACGCUCGGCACACAGGCUCCUGGCCCCAAGUCGCCAUGGCUGCUUCUUGCUCUGGGAGUGGACGUCCCCUCUGCACUGUGUUAUGUGAAGCAGCCCAGCUUCUCCCUUCCUCAGGCCACCUCUUCCUACAUCCAUACUCUUCUACCCCAGGACCUUUGUUCAUGUUACCCUAGAGAGAGAGAGAGAGAGAGGGAUUUUCCCACCUGGAAUGGGAGACCCAUGAUCAGGGAGACCCCUCACUCCCUGGCUUGGCCUCCAGGGCCCUGGGAGGAUCUUGAAGGAACAGUUGGCUGCUUGUCACCCCAAAGAGGCCGGAUGCCUGGAAUCCUGGAAAGACUCCCUAGCUCCAUGCCCAUCUUGGAGUGGGACAUGGAGGUCAGGGACCCUCAGGACGGGCAGGGAGUGUCCGCCACCUCCUUCCGUCAGCAGGAACCAGACUCCUGCUCCUGCUUACCAGGGAGCAGCAGAGUUUUGAGCUGGUUUCUGUUGAUCAGAGCUUCAGAGCCCCGAGGAGCACUUAGUGGAGGGCAGGGCACUGUUUGGGGCAGAGAUGCUGGAGACCAGUUCAAAUCCUGACACCGACACUUGGCAGUCUGACUUAGUGUCUGGUGACUGACUCAGUUUCCCUGCUUGUGGUGAUUAUGCGGGAGUUGUGCAGCAUGGAGCCCUGCACGGAGCUCGCUGUGCACUGUCCCCGUCCCUACCACUGCCUCUGUGUGCCCUUUCCUCCGUCCCUGGUUUUCCUCGAGUGUUGCUGGGGCUCAGAGCCAGGCAGCCUCCGUCCUGCGGCCCCCAGCCCUGAGCCAGGCUGGGAGGAGGAGGGCACUCACUGGGAAGAACAGCAGCUGGCGCCACGCGCCCCAGGGGGCUGUCACAGCGGUGGGCCGUCUCAGGUAGGCAGCGGUUCGGGAAGUUUCAAAGGCCUGUGAAUGAGUCUGCUUCUUCUCCUUUGUCACAAACACCCCAAAACCUGAGUCAAUGGUGCCUGGAUCUCUUUGCAAAACGUCACAGGUCAGGCUCAGGUGUCCGCGGGCUGGCUGCUCCUCAGAGACAUUGGCUUCUCAGGCCCGCCCCCGACUCCAAUCCUGCCGAAGCCCGUUAUGCACACACCUUCCUCAAGCCGGCCUCUGAGUGGGGGAGGCUUGGGGCAUUCGGAUGUAAGUUGUAAUGGGUAUUUCUCCACUGAUCAGUAACCAGUUUGCUUCGGCUUCCUCCCUCCCUCUGUCCUGCCUCUCCUCCCUGCUCUCGCUCCUUCCUCCUUGUCUUCCUCAUCCCCGCCCCUCUCCCUCUUCCCUCCACGCCUCCCUCUCUUCUUUCCCGUUUCCCCUUCUUCCUCCCUCCUUCCGUCUCUCUCCGCUCCUCUCCCAUGACAUGACACAUCCUGUGAGGCUCCAGCUGGCUUGGGGGUGGGCAGUGGGUUUUUCACCAUGUGCCUGCCCGUCCCCUUGGGUACCGUUCGGAGGUGGGGAGAUGCCAGUCCGGCAGCAGCGUCUGUUCAGGGAGCAGAAUCAGCUUCUCGAGCCGCAGCGAGAGUCGAGAGUCGCCACACACGGGAAGAUCAGAUGCCUCUCGAGGUGCUCGGGACCUGGGAGUCCCAGAUGCAGGGCGGCGUGUCCACUAACCAGCUGGAGUGGAUACAGCGUGGCAAUGUCACUACACUCUCCCACAUCCCGGAGCGCAAGAGCUGCGUGUCAGCCCCGCCGGAGGCCCACAGCGAGGAAACGCUCCGAGCCGCCGUUUUUUCUGGGCGUGUGCGCAGCCCAGCAAACUGUUUUCUAAAGGCUUUGAUCUCACAAGUGGUCAAGUUGGCAUUUUUUGAGCCUUCAGCUUCUCCCUUCGAGGGCGGGCGUCACGGUGGCAGUCCCAGGUGUGCCCGCUAGAUGGCGCCGG